GGGCCUAUAGCUCAGCUGGUUAGAGCGCCGGACUCAUAAUCCGUCGGUCCCUGGUUCGAAUCCAGGUGGGCCCACCA
rnacentral:tRNA from 3 species